ACGCUCGACACCUACGGGAGACAGCAGUCGGGAAUAUUGCGCAAUGGGAGGAAACUCUGACGCAGUGACGCCGCGUAUAGGAAGAAGGUUUUCGGAUUGUAAACUAUUGUCGUUAGGGAAGAUACAAGACAGUACCUAAGGAGGAAGCACCGGCUAACUAUGUGCCAGCAGCCGCGGUAAUCUGAGCGGCUGGCAAGGC
rnacentral:rRNA from 1 species